AGAAACCUUUGACGUUAUUAUGAAACACUGUCACCAGCAAGACAGGUUAUUUAAAGCAAGGAGACAGAUGGACAAUGGAAGAUGUCAGACUGUAAUGCUUGAUAUAUAUUCCACAUGCAGGGUGAACUGGAUAUGGACCAUUUUACUUUCCAAUGAAGUAAGCAGUCCUGAACAUACAUUCAUUUCUGAGCUUUGGUGGUGCUUUUGGUCACAUAGGGGAGACAAAAACUGCAGAGAGAUGGCAAAGGUAUGCAGCAAUCUCAUCUAUUGCACCAGGAUUUGCCUUAGGAUCAGCCAUCCCCCACUGACUAUUUCUAUUUUCCAGGGAAAUAAUAGUUUACCUCUUCACUGGCUGCCUGAGGUAUUCAUCCCCAUGCACUUAGACAGAAAAUACAGAGCAGUACAUAAAAGUUCUUCUAGUCCUUGUUCUUUCCCACCACCUUGUGUCUGCGUUUCAUCAGUGGUAUUUCUAGUCUCCCCAGCCAGACCAGA